rnacentral:rRNA from 1 species
UACAGAGGUCUCAAGCGUUGUUCGGAUUCAUUGGGCGUAAAGGGUGCGUAGCGGCGCGGUAAGUCGGGUGUGAAAUCUCGGAGCUUAACUCCGAAACUGCAUUCGAUACUGCCGUGCUUGAGGACUGGAGAGGAGACUGGAAUUUACGGUGUAGCGGUGAAUGCGUAGAUAUCGUAAGGAAGACCAGUGGCGAAGGCGGGUCUCUGGACAGUUCCUGACGCUGAGGCACGAAGGCCAGGGGAGCAAACGGG